ACGGAAGGCAGCAGUGGGGAAUAUUGCACAAUGGGCGCAAGCCUGAUGCAGCGAUGCCGCGUGAGGGAAGAAGGUCUUCGGAUUGUAAACCUUUGUUUUUAGUGAAGAAAUAAAUGACGGUAGCUAAAGAGGAAGCCACGGCUAUCUACGUGCCAGCAGCCGCGGUAAUACGUAGGUGGCAAGCGUUGUCCGGAUUUACUGGGUGUAAAGGGUGCGCAGGCGGGACUGCAAGUUGGAUGUGAAAUACCGAGGCUUAACCUCGGAACUGCAUCCAAAACUGUAGUUCUUGAGUGGAGUAGAGGUAAGCGGAAUUCCGAGUGUAGCGGUGAAAUGCGUAGAUAUUCGGAGGAACACCAGUGGCGAAGGCGGCUUACUGGGCUCUAACUGACGCUGAGGCACGAAAGCAUGGGUAGCAAACAGGAUUAGAUACCCUGGUA
rnacentral:rRNA from 1 species